rnacentral:ncRNA from 1 species
AAACAGACAGGUUUGGUCCUAGCCUUUCUAUUAACUCUUAGCAAGAUUACACAUGCAAGGAUCCUCGUCCCGGUGAAGACACCCUGUAAAUCACCACGACCAAAAGGAGUAUCAAGCACGCACAACGCAGCUCAAAACACUUUGCUCAGCCACACCCCCACGGGAGACAGCAGUGACAAACUUUUAGCAAUAAACGAAAGUUUAACUAAGCUAUGCUACAUUCAGGGUUGGUUAAUUUCGUGCCAGCCACCGCGGCCAUACGAUUAACCCAAGCUAAUAGACACCGGCGUAAAGAGUGUUUUAGAUCUAGUUCAAUAAAGCUAAACCCCAUCUAAAUUGUAAAAACCCUAGCUGAUGUAAAAUAAACUAUGAAAGUGGCUUUAAAAUUUCUGAACACACAAUAGCUAAGACUCAAACUGGGAUUAGAUACUCCACUAUGCUUAGCCUUAAACUUCAAUAGUCAAAACAACAAAACUACUCGCCAGAAUACAACAAGCAACAGCUUAAAACUCAAAGGACUUGGCAGUGCUUCACAUCCCUCUAGAGGAGCCUGUUCUAUAAUCAAUAAACCCUGAUCCACCUCACCAUCUCUUGCUCAGCCUAUAUACCGCCAUCCUCAGCAAACCCUAAUAAAGGCCACAAAGUAAGCAUAAAUGCCCCUACAAAAACGUUAGGUCAAGGUGUAGCUUAUGAGAUGGUAAAAAAUGGGCUACAUUUUCUACCUCAGAUAAUCCCACAAUAACUCUUAUGAAACCUAAGAGCUCAAGGAGGAUUUAGCAGUAAAUUAAGAAUAGAGUGCUUAAUUGAAUAAGGCCAUAAAGCACGCACACACCGCCAGUCACUCUCCUCAAGUAUAUUUAAGGACUAACUUAACUAAAAACCCCUCGCAGUUACAUAGAGGAGAUAAGUCGUAACAUGGUAAGUGUACGGGAAGGUGUACUUGGAUAAACCAAGGC